rfam:Meiothermus silvanus DSM 9946, complete genome.
CGGGAAGGGGGCGCGGUCGCGGGCGGUGGCCUAUAACCAGGCCGACCGCCUGAGGAAAGUCCGGGCUCCACAGGGCAGGGUGCCAGCUAACGGCUGGGCGGGGUAACCCGACGGAAAGUGCAACAGAGAGCAGACCGCCGAUGGCCUCUUCAGGCUCAGGCAAGGGUGAAACGGUGGAGUAAGAGCCCACCAGUGCUGAUGGAGACAUCGGCAGCUAGGUAAACCCCACCCGGUGCAAGGCUAGCCCGCGCAAGCGGGUAAGGUAGGGAGGGCUUGCCCGGCCCGUACCUGCGAGAAACAGCCGCUCGAGGUCGGUGGCGACACCGAUCCCAGAUAGAUGACCGCUAGUGACGCGCCAGCGUCACCAUACAGAACCCGGCUUAUACCCCUUCCCGGCAA